rnacentral:rRNA from 1 species
UACGUAGGGUGCAAGCGUUGUCCGGAAUUAUUGGGCGUAAAGAGCUCGUAGGCGGUUUGUCGCGUCUGCUGUGAAAACGCGAGGCUCAACCUCGCGCCUGCAGCGGGUACGGGCAGACUGGAGUGCGGUAGGGGAGAUUGGAAUUCCUGGUGUAGCGGUGGAAUGCGCAGAUAUCAGGAGGAACACCAAUGGCGAAGGCAGAUCUCUGGGCCGUAACUGACGCUGAGGAGCGAAAGCAUGGGGGAGCGAACAGG